rnacentral:rRNA from 1 species
UACGGAGGGGACUAGCGUUGUUCGGAAUUACUGGGCGUAAAGCGCACGUAGGCGGAUUUGUAAGUCAGGGGUGAAAUCCCGGGGCUCAACCUCGGAACUGCCUUUGAUACUGCAAAUCUCGAGUCCGGAAGAGGUGAGUGGAAUUCCUAGUGUAGAGGUGAAAUUCGUAGAUAUUGGGAAGAACACCGGUGGCGAAGGCGGCUAUCUGGCCCGUAAUUGACGCUGAGGCGCGAAAGCGUGGGGAGCAAACAGG